GACGAACGCUGGCGGCGUGCCUAAUACAUGCAAGUCGAGCGGAAGUUGGAGAGCUUGCUCUUCAACUUUAGCGGCGGACGGGUGAGUAACACGUGGGCAACCUGCCCUGCAGAUCGGGAUAACUCCGGGAAACCGGUGCUAAUACCGAAUAGUUUUCGCCACCUCCUGGUGGCGUACGGAAAGACGGUUUCGGCUGUCACUGCAGGAUGGGCCCGCGGCGCAUUAGCUAGUUGGUGGGGUAACGGCCCACCAAGGCGACGAUGCGUAGCCGACCUGAGAGGGUGAUCGGCCACACUGGGACUGGGACACGGCCCAGACUCCUACGGGAGGCAGCAGUAGGGAAUCUUCCGCAAUGGACGAAAGUCUGACGGAGCAACGCCGCGUGAGUGACGAAGGUUUUCGGAUCGUAAAACUCUGUUGUGAGGGAAGAACAAGUACCACUUAACUACUGGUACCUUGACGGUACCUCACCAGAAAGCCACGGCUAACCACGUGCCAGCCGCCGCCGUAACAC
rnacentral:rRNA from 1 species